AGGACGAACGCUGGCGGCGUGCUUAACGCAUGCAAGUCGAGCGGAAAGGCCCUUCGGGGUACUCGAGCGGCGAACGGGUGAGUAACACGUGAGCAACCUGCCCUUAGCUCUGGGAUAGCUCCGGGAAACCGGAAUUAAUACCGGAUAUGACCUAGGCCGACAUCGGCCGUGGUGGAAAGUUUUUCGGCUAGGGAUGGACUCGCGGCCUAUCAGCUAGUUGGUGGGGUAAUGGCCUACCAAGGCGACGACGGGUA
rnacentral:rRNA from 1 species